rnacentral:lncRNA from 1 species
UAUUCGCUCUUUUUUCUGUUUUCUUUUUUAACGCAUCCAUGUUCUAAUCCAAAGAAAGCAUAAGGUAAACUUGGGUGACUCCACAAACGUUAUAUUUUGAGCGAAGCUUGGAUUUAAAAUAAACUUUUUUGUAGGAGUUCUUCGGUAUGCAAAUAGAUCUUCUUUAAAGUUAUUCGAUUUGUAUGUUUGAAUUGUAAACGUUUUCACUUGUUUAAAUCAAAAUUGCUGCCUUAAGACGUGUCUGAUACGUCAUCUAUUGUUUUAAGAAUCUAAAUAGUUCUUUCGUGGUACAUGUAUAUCGAUAGAUAGAAAAAUAUUAAUAUUGUAUUCCAUGUUGACACAACCAAAGAGCAUGUAAUGAAGGAAUAUGACAACGCAGUGGAACUUGUCAACAUAUAGUCCUGUUUGAAUACAAAAGUCAUCAGUAUUCCAAGAUUCUUCUUUCACACAAGAAUGCUCCUUUAAAGUAUAACCAUAUAUCAUGCCAUUUAUAGCCAUCAUAUUUUUUCAUACCAAUGGUUUCUUCAACGCCAUGUAAAGUCAUAUCAGGCUGAGUUGGGUGCCAAUUAAAAUAAGACAUAAUUGACCCAUCUUUAUAGUACCAAUGUAACUCUGCUGUACGAUGAUAUC